rnacentral:snoRNA from 1 species
UCAAGCCGGUGACGAUACAAGUUAUCCCUGUCUGAACUCGGUGUGGAGUCAUGGUAAGGUAACCUGAGGCUUGU